AAUAGAUACCCCCGGUAGUCCACGCCGUAAACGAUGAGUGCUAAGUGUUAGGGGGGUUUCCCGCCCCCUUAGUGCUGCAGCUAACGCAUUAAGCACUCCGCCUGGGGAGUACGGUCGCAAGACUGAAACUCAAAGGAAUUGACGGGGGGCCCGCACAAGCGGUGGAGCAUGUGGUUUAAUUCGAAGCAACGCGAAGAACCUUACCAGGUCUUGACAUCCCACUGACCGCUAUGGAGACAUAGUUUUCCCUUCGGGGACAGUGGUGACAGGUGGUGCAUGGUUGUCGUCAGCUCGUGUCGUGAGAUGUUGGGUUAAGUCCCGCAACGAGCGUCAACCCUUGAUCUUAGUUGCCAUCAUUUUAGUUGGGCACUCUAAGGUGACUGCCGGUGACAAACCGGAGGAAGGUGGGGAUGACGUCAAAUCAUCAUGCCCCUUAUGACCUGGGCUACACACGUGCUACAAUGGACGGUACAAACGGUUGCCUAACCCGCGAGGGGGAAGCUAAUCCGAUAAAACCGUUCUCAGUUCGGAUUGUAGGCUGCAACUCGCUAC
rnacentral:rRNA from 1 species